CUGUUUCAAUCUAGGUUAUUGAUCAAUGCAUUCUUGAUGGGCUCCCAAAAGAUGGGAAAAUCAAAUGGAUCACGCGUUGCCGUUUGAAAGGAGAUAAAAGCUUUAUGAGUGGACCCCAUUCUUCAUGGAAAGUAUAGAUUUCACAUUUUUUAUGAAAAAUAUUUGAAAUGCUUUCUAGUUUUUUUUUCGAAAACAACAGUCAAAUGUAAUCGAUUGUCGUUUAUUUAGGCUGGGUCAGGGCUGGAUCCAGUUUGAAAUUGCCCCAAAAGUCUGACAUCCUAUCAUUCAAACCUGUCUUUGAUUUUUCGACUCGAAAUUUCGAUUUCUUAGAUAACUUUUCUGGCUAACCGACAGGCAACGACAUCUAUCAGAAGGCCGGAAAGUUAACUACCGUCAUUCCAAUUUCGUGAAUUGGCUUUGUUGCUGUGCCAUCACGUUGGAGGGACUUCCAUCGGGAAAAACGCCGCCCUUACCUCCGUUUCAACACACCCUCACCACAACGAAGAAAGGUGUCGUGUAGCAGAACUGGAGAAACAAAAAUUAGCGAAGAAAAAAAAAAAACUUAUCCGCAUAGUUAUCUGUCUCUUCGUAAACGGGUUGAUCUGUGCCGGACAGCAUUUCGAAACCUGAAGGCAAAAAAAAAAAGGCAAAAAUACCCGACCAGUCCGGUACCCGUUCAUACCCAGGUAUUAACCUAGAUACAUUCGAUGCCAAAAACAGAAAAACAAAUGAAAAAAUGAAACAAAAGCAGGUUCUUUCAAGAGCGCCUCGUUACGCACACACCAGCCACGGCAUGAUACCAUUCCAUACGUGGUUGCAGUCAGGUUUGUUAUGGAAAUCAAGUAAUUAUUUAUGUGUAGCCAUCGAAUUAUUUGUGCAGUCGCAAACACGAGGACACAACAAGCACCUGUUGCGUUGCCAUAGUGACACGCCUUUCUAAGAUUGUCUCUGAAUUUCUAAUAUCCUGCGAAAGUGGUAAAGCCAAUGUCACUCGCAAUGUAACAACGCAUGUUGCAAGACGUCGUCUCAGCUCUAACUUGCCACAGAUUUUUACGAAUGGCGAACGAAUGUGUGGAUCGAAAAUCUGAUAUUAUAUAACACUCGACAUGUAGGGCAAUUUUUCUUCCUAUUACUUUUAGAUUUCUAUGUUUUUAUUAAUUAACUUUUUUUCUGGGGCUCUUACUGAUGCGGUUUUUUGUUUUGUGAAUAUUUACAACUAUCGCCGUGAUUGAAAAAAGCUGCAAGAGGCGAUAUAAAGCUAUCUUGAAGAUCAAAAGACUAACAUUCGUCGUUAAAAUACCGCAUUUUCCCUAACCAAUCAGCGGCCAAUGCAUUGGGUGCGAAUAGCAGCCGUUCAAACUACAACAACCGGAUAGACACACACACGUAAAAAUUGUCCACCAGAUAUCAUAACCACCCAAUCAGUCCAUGAUAGAUUUACCUAAGGAGUUGAAUAAGGAGCUUAUUAAAAUAGAUAUUUAAAUAAGUACUUUUGUGCAAUUGGACAGCCGUGUCUACUAUCUAGGCAGAUUCCGGAACCGAAAACUAAUAUUUUAUUCGCAAUUACGUUUGACUUUGGCUACAGCAAAUUGGGUUUAAUAGAAUUGCAAGUAAAAAUUUUUAGCCCAUAACCUUUUUUUAACAGUGCAACUCAUUCCGAUAGGUGGAUUUCGUGCAACAAAAAGCAAUUUAUGGUGGUUUCAGAAACUCUGUAACAAUUUCUUAAUUCAAGUAGUCUGCUUUCUUACUGCGAUUGCCCUACAUUUCCGUAGAUUCUUUAAUUUUUUGCAUUUCAGCCGUUUUUGAAACAAUUGGAACAAAAGGACUAUAGCGCAAAAUAUUUGUUCACCUGUUUUUGACGUUUAUUGCAAAACCUUAAGUCCCACAUAAAAACUAAGUCGAUUUUCGUUAUCUUCAUCAAAUAGAAAAAGUAUUUUAAACAAUAUUUAGAAUUUAUCAAAAAAGGAAAAAGUGGGAGUUAAAUUAACCUAUCACAAUCAAAAAUUGAACACUGAUUCCUAGAAAAUUAGAUAUUAUUAUUUUUUAAAUAUUCAAUUCAUUUUUUCAUCAAAUUAGCCGUUUUGGAAAUAGAAUGCAUAAUUGUGCGAUAUCACGCUUGCGCUGUAGCGUGCUGGCGCACAACUUUGUUACCCUGUUUUUGACGUUUAUUUUGGAAAAUUCAAGGCCUCCGACAAAACAAAGUUAAUUUUUGGGAUCAGUGUUCAAUUGCGAAUCUAAAUCAUGUAUUUUAAACUAAAUCUAAAAUUUAGCCAAAAAUGAAAAAGUGGGAAGGCUAUACCCUUAUCACUUUUGUGAAAAUCGGCAAAAAAUGACAUCGCUUGGAAUUCGUUAUAAACCGCCUAGAGUAAUUAAAAUUCAAUGCUGAUUUCGUAAAAGCCAAUUGUUUUCUCGUAAAGCUAGUCUUUUUUUGUAAAUAAACGAAAUUAAAGUGCUGUUA